rnacentral:rRNA from 1 species
GAUGAACGCUGGCGGCGUGCCUAAUACAUGCAAGUCGAGCGAACAGACGAGGAGCUUGCUCCUCUGACGUUAGCGGCGGACGGGUGAGUAACACGUGGAUAACCUACCUAUAAGACUGGGAAAACUUCGGGAAACCGGAGCUAAUACCGGAUAAUAUAUUGAACCGCAUGGUUCAAUAGUGAAAGACGGUUUUGCUGUCACUUAUAGAUGGAUCCGCGCCGCAUUAGCUAGUUGGUAAGGUAACGGCUUACCAAGGCAACGAUGCGUAGCCGACCUGAGAGGGUGAUCGGCCACACUGGAACUGAGACACGGUCCAGACUCCUACGGGAGGCAGCAGUAGGGAAUCUUCCGCAAUGGGCGAAAGCCUGACGGAGCAACGCCGCGUGAGUGAUGAAGGUCUUCGGAUCGUAAAACUCUGUUAUUAGGGAAGAACAAAUGUGUAAGUAACUAUGCACGUCUUGACGGUACCUAAUCAGAAAGCCACGGCUAACUACGUG